rnacentral:lncRNA from 1 species
CCCCCACCAACGUCACCGGAUUCUCAAAUGAAACACACACACACACACACACACACACACACACACACACACACACACAUAUACACCAGUUCAUUUUAAUAUACCUUGACUAGCUCAAAGGCUGGGCAGUUCUAAUCCUUCCCACUGCUAGCAAGCACCCUCCUUUGGUAGCUCUGAGUUAGCAUCUUUAAUAUUUAUAUUUUAUCUCUGCUACCCCACAAACAAUUGGGGAAGCGGUGGAUGGCAGGCCUUUAGGUUUGGUCUUUCUCCUUCCCUGUGAUGGCGAUUUCUCCUUCUCUUUCAGGUCCUAGCCCGGGCAAAUCUAAAGGUUCCACCUCACUCUACCUGCCCAGGCAUUGGCUGUUGACUCUUUCUUGAUCAAUCAACAACCAGUUGGGGACAAGGACUUUCAGCAAUUGGACACACAGACUCCCAAUUUUGGGGCCAGAUUAAUUCAAAGCAUUAGAUUCCAUCUCUAACACCCUACUGCCCUCAGCUCAUUAUCCCAACACCCACCCAGUCAAGAAAGCCAGAAAUAUGAAGUGUUUGGUUUACUUCUCACAAGCUGCAACUAGAAGGUCUCUUGCAGAAUGAUCUUACAGGCUAUUAGCAUCACAUCUGGGUUAGGCAUUCAUGACUCUGCUUCACAUUUACAACUUCAAAAUAAUUUAUAAUUUUUAUCAUGUGUGAGGUUCUGGGUCCAACCAAGAUGACGGGAGAGACAGAUACUUAUAAAGGAUCCACAGUAUGAUUUUCAUAGCCAAAGGUGAGUGGACAGCCAUCAUGUGUGUGAUCAUGCCAU